rnacentral:misc_RNA from 1 species
UUUCCGUAGGUGAACCUGCGGAGGGAUCAUUAUCGUACAAAAUGUGAGGGGCAUGCGAGGGCUGUCGCUGACCCAAAACUCGUGCACGCCCGAGUGUGUCCUCUUGCAUAAUAAUCCAUCUCACCCUUUGUGCAUCACGGCGUGGGUACCCUUCGGGAUCAUCUCGGAGGGGGGCUCGCGUUUUCACACAAACCCCCCUUAUAAAAGUGUAGAAUGACCACAUUUAUGCAAUCAAUACAACUUUCAACAACGGAUCUCUUGGCUCUC